rnacentral:rRNA from 1 species
GCAAGGCCUUGCGCUCUUUGAGCGGCCGAUGUCAGAUUAGCUAGUUGGUGAGGUAAAGGCUUACCAAGGCGACGAUCUGUAGCGGGUCUGAGGGGAUGAUCCGCCACACUGGAACUGAGACACGGUCCAGACUCCUACGGGAGGCAGCAGUGGGGAAUUUUGGACAAUGGGGGCAACCCUGAUCCAGCCAUGCCGCGUGAGUGAAGAAGGCCUUCGGGUUGUAAAGCUCUUUCGGCCGGGAAGAAAUCGCAUGGGCCAAUACCCUGUGUGGAUGACGGUACCGGAAUAAGAAGCACCGGCUAACUACGUGCCAGCAGCCGCGGUAAUACGUAGGGUGCGAGCGUUAAUCGGAAUUACUGGGCGUAAAGCGUGCGCAGGCGGUUUUGUAAGACAGGCGUGAAAUCCCCGGGCUUAACCUGGGAACUGCGUUUGUGACUGCAAGGCUAGAGUACGGCAGAGGGGGGUGGAAUUCCACGUGUAGCAGUGAGAUGCGUAGAGAUGUGGAGGAACACCUAUGGCGAAGGCAGCCCCCUGGGUCGAUACUGACGCUCAUGCACGAAAGCGUGGGUAGCAAACAGGAUUAGAUACCCUGGUAGUCCACGCCCUAAACUAUGUCAACUAGGUGUUGGGUGGGUAAAACCAUUUAGUACCGUAGCUAACGCGUGAAGUUGACCGCCUGGGGAGUACGGCCGCAAGGUUAAAACUCAAAGGAAUUGACGGGGACCCGCACAAGCGGUGGAUGAUGUGGAUUAAUUCGAUGCAACGCGAAAAACCUUACCUACCCUUGACAUGCCAGGAACUUGCCAGAGAUGGCUUGGUGCCCGAAAGGGAGCCUGGACACAGGUGCUGCAUGGCUGUCGUCAGCUCGUGUCGUGAGAUGUUGGGUUAAGUCCCGCAACGAGCGCAACCCUUGUCGUUAAUUGCCAUCAUUUAGUUGGGCACUUUAACGAGACUGCCGGUGACAAACCGGAGGAAGGUGGGGAUGACGUCAAGUCCUCAUGGCCCUUAUGGGUAGGGCUUCACACGUCAUACAAUGGUCGGUACAAAGGGUUGCCAAGCCGCGAGGCGGAGCCAAUCCCAGAAAGCCGAUCGUAGUCCGGAUUGCAGGCUGCAACUCGCCUGCAUGAAGUCGGAAUCGCUAGUAAUCGUGGAUCAGCAUGUCACGGUGAAUACGUUCCCGGGUCUUGUACACACCGCCCGUCACACCAUGGGAGCGGGUUCCGCCAGAAGUAGGUAGCCUAACCGCAAGGGGGGCGCUUACCA